AUUGCUGCAUCUAAAUCAACCAAACCUUGAAGCAAUGCACAACACUUGCUUGAAGCAGGACUUCCAACAAUAACAUUAACAAGUCCUAAAACAUCAGCACAAACACCUAGCUUUAAUGUGUCACUAGGACAUUUUUGUGAUGUUGAAGGAGUAGGAGGUGUUGUUGAAGGUGUUGGAGGACAUGGUGUUGAUGAAGGUGGUGGAGGACUAGGCUUUGGCUUUGGCUUAGGCUUAGGUGAUGGAGUUGGUUUGCAUGAACCACAAGCAUGUGAAAAUGUUGAAUAAGCAAGGAGAGAAAACAAUAUAAUUAGGGCACUAAGCUUGUUGGAAGCCAUUGUUAAGAAAUGUACGCUAAUGCUUUUGUGUGUUUUGAUGUUGAAUCAUAGGAUGUGAAAGAAAGAGGAGAAUUGGACCAUUUUUAUAGACAAAAAAUUGUGAGGUUCAGUCAUAUGAAAAUCUGAUUGAGUGGAAGAGAGUGUGAUAUUGAUAACGUUCCAGUUGGUCUUUUUUGUAAUCUUGUGAAAUAAGGUUUCAUAUCUUUGUGGUUGUUGGAAACUAGGAAAUUCUACUAUCUAUGGUUAGUUGUAACUAUAAGCAGUAGAAUUUCCCUGGUUUUCAAUUGCUGUCUAAAGUAGAUAUUUUUUAUCCUAGUUUAUUAAGUGGCUUUCAAAUAUUCAUAUCGUUUUAAGCGGUUUUAAGACUAGUUUUUCUUAAAGAAGUUAAACUAAUUCAUUCAAAUUAAAAUCGAGAAAAAUCAAAUAUGGGACAUUAAAGACUAGUUAAAUAUGACAUUAUAGAUAAAUUAAUAAAGAUUAGAUAUUAGCUAGUUAAGUUGAUAAAUUAAUAUUAUUUUAAGGUUUUGUCAUUGAAAUGUUAUUAAAAAAAGUCAUUUCGAACAUGCUACAUGAACUUUUGUUAAAAAUAAUGAAUUAAAAUUGGUACUAAAAUAUUUAGAGGACUAAAGUUUGAAAGAAAUUUUUAGAGGAAUCAAAAAUAUACAUAAGAUUUUUUUUAAUUACUUGACAUCUAAAAUGUCAUCAUUAAAAUAUUAUUAAUUAACCGUCUCGUAAAAAGUUUUAUAUUUGUUUUAAUUUGGGGGGAAAAGUGUUAUAAGAAAUUUUGUUUUCCGUAUCCAUAAAAAUGUGGCAUGUUUUCGUCUCUAUUAAAUUUUCUUGUACGGAUAGUCCUUGUUUCUAAGUCAAUGUUAAUUUUUGGAUGAAUUUUUUUUUUCAGACAUGUUUAGAACAUUAUAAAAUUAUUCCAAAAAAUAGAACAAAAAUUUAAAAGUGUAUGAAAAAUUCAUAUUUGAUUGAUCUCAUGUAAAAAAAAUUAUAAAUUUUUGUAAAUAAACUUUUAAUAAUCAUCUAAACUAGUUUCGAAAAAAUUCUACAAAAAUUUAAAUGUGUAUGAAAAAUUAAACAAGUUUGAAAAACAGCAAAGAAUAAAAUUGCUUGCAGAUUUUUUCUUGUAAGGAUGGUAACAUGCCACUUUUUUUUUUAAUGUGAGCUGAAAAAAUAAAAUUUGGUAAUUUGUUAGGGACAAAAAACUUAUAUGUAACCUCUAUAAAUUGUAUUAUUAUUUAAUUUUUUAUAUGCAUUUGCUUACUAUGAUAAUAAAUUAUUGAUUAAAUUGUUAAUAGAUAAAAAUAAGAUCAAAAAUAUCAAUAUUUUAUAAAAUAAUGGGAGAAGGAAGCUUUUAUUAAUUAAACACUAAUAACUAUUUUACAACGUCCACGUGAUCUUAGCUCAAUUGGUAAGAACAUUGCAUAAUUUAUGCAGAGCGUCAAGGUUCAAACCUCGGACACCCCAUUUUUCCAGAUUUAAAUAUGUGAGCUUCAGCCACUACUGAAAAAAAAAAAAAAAAACUAUUUCACAACUGUAAGGAUAUUUAAACUCUCUCCCUUGUGGUUAUCACUAAAGUGACGACACUCAUGAAAAAUCACAUAUUAUAUAAUGAAUUGAAUAUUAUUGAAUAAGACUAUUAUUAUCCUUUGAUUGUUUCUCAUCUAUUUCUUUGUUUUCUUUCCAAUUUGGAAGUAUUGAUUUUAUAGUGAAGAUUUGUUUUAGUCCAUAACAAAAACUUUAAGAUUUUUUUUUUUUUAAAUAGUCUAGAGACUAUAAUUCACUUUAAGAUGAAUAAGUUGAAUGUCUGACGUUUGAACUCCACCAACUGCAUAUUACAAUGAAUUGUUCACCUUUAAGACCUAAUUUAGUCCAUGAAAACUCGACUUUAUUAUUCAAGAAAAAUAAAUCAUGACAAAUUAAUCUCUUUCUCAACGACUUAGUUUUUACCUCUUUAACAUUGUGCUUGAAAGCAUAAAAUCCUAAGUGAAAAUAAAAGAAAACACAGUUUCUCUAAAUCAAUUCCCUCGUUAAAAAGUACACCCACCAUUUUAAAAUGAAUGUCGUUUAAAGUUUUUAUACACAUAUUAAGAAAUUCAUUAAUUAAAAAAUAAAUGUUAUUUUACCAAGUUAUCCUAAUCAAUUGUUGGUUUAUUUUUCAUUAAAAAAAAUAAUACUUUGGAAGUAGUGUAUAGAAUAUUAAUUGAAUGUUACAAUUGAAAAGAAAAAAUUAUUAUUGUAUUGAAAACUGAAAGUCGUAUUCAUUUCAAAACAAUUUUUUUUGCUAAAACGACACUCAUUUUAAAACGGAUGGAGUAUUUGACCAAUGAUGAAUGAAAAAUGAUUGUGAAACUCGCAAUAAAAACUUUUUUUUUAAGCAGCAAAAAUUAUAUUAACACGCCUAAAAGGAUUGUGUGAAAUAUAGAUAAAAUUUGAGAAAUCUAUUACAUUUUUUCAAAGAGUACAUUUUUAGAAAAUGUUGAAUGAUUGUUUAUAAAUAAUUUAUUUUUAAUUUUAAGAAUAUCGUAAAUUGAAUUUGAAAAAUUUAUAUAAAUUAUUCAAAACUCUCUUUUAAUUCAAUUUUUUACUUCCCAAAUUAUGUGGGAUUUUCCAUUAAAAUCUAGAAGCAUUUUAAAGUUAGUUGUAAUCCUCUUUCAACCCCUAUUAUUAUUGAGGUUCGUUGGAGUGCAAUAUAGAUGAGGCAACCAAGGGUCAUAUUGAUUUGGUUUCCUAUGGUGGCAUUUUUUGUGACUAUAAAGGUAAUUUUAUUGGUGGUUUUGCCUUGAAUUUAGAACUUCUGCUCUCAAUGUUGAACUUACUGUUGUUAUGCUUUCUGUUGAGAUUGCUUAUGAUAGAGAUUGGUUUAAUACUUUAAUUUUUGGUUGGAUUGUUGUGACUCCAUGAUCACUGUUACGCCUUUGAUUACUUUUUGCUAGUGUCUUGGAAACUUCAGAUUAAAGUGGUUAAAAUGUUUGAAUCUUAUGAAAAAGUUUCGUUUUAGAGUUUCUCGCAUUUUCAAAGAGGGAAAUAAUUGUGCUGGGUCAAUUAUAUGUUUCAAAGUAAUGAAUUUAUUUGAUUGGACCUUCUCCUUAUUGUAUUAGGGAUGACUUGUUUUGUAAAAGGAUUGAGCUACAUUUCUUUAGAUUUCGUUGAUUGUUACUUGCAUUGCUCUAUUUUGUCCUUCCAAUUAGAUAAUACAUGACUGACCCUAUCACGUAUAUCGAUACAUAAUUUUGAGUUUAAAUAUCUUGAAAAAUAUAUUAAAAAAAAAAUAUGAAAAAUUUGAUAUUUUAAAAAUAUUUGUCAUGACGAAUCCAAUAACAUUUUAUAUUAUAUUAUUUAUCUUUUUAUAUUAGUAAAAAAAUACAGUCAAAAUAUGUUAGGUCAAUAAUCAACAUUGUCAAAUAGAUUAUCUAUUACGUGACGGGGGAGUAUCAUUUUAUCCCUUUGAAAUUUUCUGGCAUUGUUUUAACGAGGUAGAUGUUGUGACUCUAUUAUCUUAGAUAUUGGUCUAAUCUCCACGAAUUGUAUAUCCCAUGCUAUUUUAUUUUCCUCUUUAGUUGCACUAUAAUUUUCGCAUAAAAAAGUUUUUGUUAGUAAUGGCUAUAAUAUUAUGCUCAUAAUGGGAUUCUAAUCCUCGACUUCCUAAUCUAUCAUCCCCUUAACUCUCGUCUCCACCCCAACCAUCAAGCUAACCUUAUAUUCGAUAUAAAAUCUGUUCUGGACCGGUCAGAAGGCCAAUUCCAUUGUGACACGUGGAUUAGGCACCCACCGGACUAUGGCGCGUCGCUUUAGGGAGCACACCAAUAUCGGUGCACGUCACCUCACUAGAGCACGUCUCCGUGCAUUAGAUAUCAUAGACGUGUCUUUUAACUGUCUCCUAAUCAAGCGCUGCUGCAUAUCACGGAGGCAUAUAUUCUUACACACGUCUAUAUAAGGGUGAGUUAGCUUCAUCCUCAAGGUAUGAUUCAUUUUUUCCGCAUUUUUUACACACUCUUCCUCAGUUCCAAUACUGACUUGAGCGUUUCAAUACUAACGUGUCUGCAGACACCUUUCGUUCCUCCGCAAAGACUCGUCGUCACCCUUGCCUACAUCAGUCUCUUCACGGACAGAUCAAAAUCAAAUACAGAUUGACUAGUUCAAAGUUAAGGUUUCUUAAAGAAGAUGAAGAAAAAGUAGUAGAGAAACAAACAAAACUGGAAAAAGCUUGAGAAAUUACGUACAUACAUUUUGACAAGUUGCUGUUUUGGACAAUACAUUUUGACAAGUUGAUCGGGAUAUUUUGCAAGUUGUUUCCAGCCUAUAUACAUUCAAAUUAUAAUUAGAAACUGAGGUAUAGAGUUUGUCUUGUUUCAUGGCCACUACUAGGUUAUUAACAUGAAUUAUUGAAAUCCAUAGGUAAUUUUGUGAGUAACAUAUGCACAGCACACAUGCCUAAAAUUAUUAUGUCGGCAAGGCUCCAAUAGCAGACCGUAGUCAAGGUCAGCAUAUCCUUUAGAAGGUGACAGAUCUUAAGAGUUGAUGUAAAUAUGAUUUGAUUACUAAAAUAAAAUUAAUCAACCACAGAUAAACUUGCAUAAGAUUGGCAGCAUCUCAAUUGAUAAGUUUUGUAAAACCGAAAGAGUAUUAUUUAAUCAAGAGGUUCAGGUUUAAACUUUAUGGACUAACGUAACCCAAUUGUCUACCUAACAAAAAAUUAAACUUGCUUUCCAUCAUUUCUAACCUAACUUACUUUCCUUCAUUUCUAACCUAAGUAAUAAUUUAUAUUUGUCAGGUAAGUAAAACUCAAAUGAUAAAAUGAUUGGAGUGUGGGUUUGAACUUGCAAUACCUUUUCUCGACAUUCUGUGUGAGAAUUUAUCCGCUAAAUCUUUGAAAAUAGAAUAAAAUAUAAUUUAUAUUUAAUUCAUUUCUUUUACUAGUAAAAUAAAAGUAAGAUCGUUUAGGAUAUUAUUUGCUAAUUAAUUUUUUUUGACAAUUUUGUGCUAAUGUUAAAACGGAAGUUUUUCAUCCUCGUGAGCUUAGCUCAGUUGGUAUGGACAAUGCAUAAAAUAUGUAAGGUUCGGGGUUCGAACCCCGACCACAACAAAAAAUAAACGGAAUUUUUCCAAUUACAUAUUAUUACAAAUAUAAGUUAUUUUUUGAAAAAUAUAUAGUGCUUUUUUAGUUAAGAAAAAAUACUACUCAAACAUUAAAAUAACUUGAAACUAUUGUUUUUGUUUUCUAUAAAUGCACUCUCAAGCUCUCUUAUGUUAAAGUGUUAUGCUAACAAGUGACCUAAGAAAUUUACAAAAAGAAUUUUCUAUUGGAAACACAAGUUAGAGUAGUAUCAAAUUAAUAAUUACAUUAUUAUACUAAAAUUAUCUUUUUUUUAGUUGUUUAAAUAAUGUGCUAAGAACAUAUAUUAACAUUUUUCGUCUCCAUUAUUACAACAUAUUGAUUUGGUCGUGAAAACAUUUUAUGUGAAAUACCGACUUCAAACUCGGAUCACAACAUUUCCCCUUUAAAAUAAAGAGAACUGACAAAAGCUUGGUAUCCAAGUGUUUCUCAAGGGACUCUAAAAAUACGUUAGUAUGCAUGUUAAAAUUUCUCUUUCAAUGAAUUCUCUGUAUAUAUUAGGCCAUUUCUGUUUCUAAAAAUAUCAUGUCAUUUAACAAGACAAGAAACUAAUGUUAUAAGCUAAAAGUCAAAGAUAGAAACUUUAAAUUUAAGCGUAAAAUUCAACAUUUGUGUGGUAAAGGAUAAGCUGAUGUGAAAGCAUAUAUCAGAGGUUAAUGAGGUUUCACAAACUCCCCGUAUGAAUGGAUUCAGUUAAAAUGAGUAUAGAUAGUUGACACGAAAACGCUGAUUUGUGUUCUAAAAGCAUUAUUUAAUAACUCUAGUAAAAAAAUUAUGAAACAUUGUAAUAUAUCAAGAUAUGUUUGUACUUUGCAGUUGCGAGGUGAUAAUUUAUUUUGUGUGUUUCAUAAAAUAUCAGAUGAAUAGUCAAUAUUAAAUGAAAGUAAAAACUUUGUAUUUAUUAAUUACUUAUUCUUAUUUAUAAUAAGAAACAGUAAUUAAUAAUUAGCAAUCUUUAAUUUGCUAAUAUUUGGGAAAUGUUAACUUGUGUCCUUAGGGCAUAUGUUAAGGAUUCCAUUAAUAAAAAUUAUGUUUUUGAAAUUGCGUUAAUUUAUUUCUCAAAAAAUUUAAUAUUAAUUUUUUUCAAAUAAUAUUUACCAUUAGUGGCAAGAAUUUAAUGUUUAACAUGGGCACAAGUUAACAUGACUCAUAUUUUACAUGGAUUAAAACUCAUUCCUAGCAUGCCGAAAAUCAUUAAUUUGCUGGAAGCUACUAGUUUUUGGCAUUUAUAUGAAUCACAUUUUUUUACGUUUGUGACAAAUUAGCUGAAAUGAUAUUCUAUAUGUUGCUUAGAAUAAUAAAUUAGUAACAUAGUACUAUUUAAUUUGUAGCGAUUGGAGUUUUUGACAUUGUCGUCAUAUGAUGUUGCUGUGAGAAUCAGUUAAUGAUUAUCAAUUUCACAAUAAUCACUAGAACUGAAACUAUACCGGAUGAUUGAAAACAAGCCAAAUUAGGGCAAUAUAGUAAUGUGUUAGUAAUUAGAAGCCAAUAACUGUUCAACCUCAUGUUAAUUCACAUUUUUAGGGUGAACUUAGUUUGUAUAGAUUAAAAUCACAACACCCACUAAUUUUUAUGGAGUAUUUCAGCAACAUGCUUUUUAGGGCGUGUUCAACAAUUUUUUAAUUAUUACUUGCUAAAAUACUCCUAAAAAAUAAGUUGAUAUAUACCAAAAAAAAAUUACUGAACAUUUAAGAGAUAUUGAAUUUAAGAUAUCUCUUUGUCUAAAGAAGCUGCAAACUUACCUAAAAAAUAAGUUGAUAUAUCCAAAUUCAAUAGCUCUUUGUCUAUAGAAGCUACUAACUUACCUCCACUUAACAUUUAAGAGAUAUUGAAUUUGAAUCUGAUUAAAACAAUUUUUAACCAAAUUUUACUUACCUAUGAGUCAAAUUUUAGAUUAUUGAUGUUCAUUUUCAAAGGUACACCUUCCUUAAAAAAGAAAUCAAAGGAACACCAGGGUUAAGGGGAAAAAAUACACCUUAGCCCCAACCUACAUGUUGGUAAACCCAAAUUAAUUGUAGUAAUAUACUAUAAUAUUUGAAGGGGGACACGAAUUAUAGAGUUUGCUAACAAAACUUGCAAUAAUUUUGAGAUGACGUUUGAUCGAAUUCUUAGUUGAAGUAGGGCUUGGAAGAGGCUCCACCCGUUCACGGAUAUGCAACUAUGUAUGUUCUUUUCUAAAAAAUCAAAUACAUAUAGCCAAAGUUCCAAUUCCUGCUUUUAUUCUAAAUUCCAACCUCCCAAUUUUGGUGCAUCUCACUAUCAAAUUAAUGACAUAUGUCGUAUAUCUAUAUGUACAAUAUGUCGUGUGUAAGUGUCAAGGACAACUUUAUGCUUGUGGUUAAAACAUAAAAUAGAAGGUCAGAUUAGGGCUAGUUCUAAUAGGAUGGAAAGCGGUUCAGAGUGAGGGUGGUUAAGAGAAUUUGUGGUGGCUAAGAGUGCAACAUUCAUUGGGAGGCUUUGUAAUUUUCUGAGGGUUUUGUCCUACUAUAUAUUUUGCAUAAGAGACCUACUAUUGGCAUAAGAACAGAAAACCACCCAAUGGACCUGCUUUAAUAAAGGUUUUAGGUUUUUUCCUAGUUUGCUUGAAAAUGAAUUUCAAAUUUUAUCAAAUAGUUAUAUAAUAUGUGGAUUCUGCCUACAAGUCGAAUGGUUAAGCAGAAUAAAUAGAUAUAUUAUGAAAAUUAAAAAUAUAAAAAGAAAAUGAAUCUAAAAUACUCUUUUUGAUCCGUAUAAAUGAGAGAAAGUUGGAUCAACAAAAGAAGUUGAUAUAUGUGGUUCAAAAUUUAGUUCAGCUACAUCCCUUUUUUUUUAAAGAAGCUCAGAUACAUCCCUUUUUGUUGACCUGACUUUUUCUUAUAUAUAAGAUUAAAGGGAGUAUAUUUUCCGAACAAAUAUUUUUGACUAAGACCUGUACUCAACAAAACCUUUUCCGACUUCAAAUUAUUUAAGAAGUCGAAGGAUCGAUCUAUGUGUUUUGUGAGCUAGUCUAGGAGUGGUGUGGAUGACUAGCUCACAAAAUGAUGUUAUCUUCUCUGCCAAACUUGUGUUGUUCAGAUAAAAAAUGUUUAAGUGUUGAUGAAUACAUAUGUUGAGCUCGUCAUAGAUGAUAUGUCCACAUAGAAUAUAUAUUGGCCAACUAUGAUUAAGGGUUGCAUAAUGAUUUACUAAGUCAUGUGAACAAUGCCAAAAGCAUGGACACGUUCAAAAUGUACAUGCAAGUGAGCUACAUGCAAUAACAAAAGAUGUGUGUUAUUUUAACAACCAUUUAGACAUUGUAUUUGAUAGGUCUAACUCACCGAAAUUCAUCUAACAGUGUCAUAUAGGUAUUUUAGUUGGUAUGGAUUAUUUCACCAAAUGCAUAGAAGUUAUUCCAUUAAGAGAUGUUGCACAUCAAGAUGUUAUUGAUUUCGUAGAAAAUCAUAUUAUGUGUAGAUUUGAAAUUCCCAAAAUAAUAUUGUGAGAGUUAACUUAAAAUCAGAAUUCUGGAGAAUCGUGCCACGAUGGAGAAGUUUCGUGCCACGAUUGUUGAAGCAAAAUUCUGGAGCACUCACUGAAAAAUCGUGCCACGAUGGUGCGAUUGAAGAUAAAAAUAAAACGUAUUUUUAUUGAAGAUUUGUUUCAGUUUUUUAAGGGAUCUUUCACUAUAAAUAUAGACCUUGUAUCAGAGCAAACUUUGAGAUAGAGGAGGCUGAAACAAGGGUUUAGAAAGACAACAACAAAACUAGGGUUUGUAUAGAGUUUGUCUCUUUGGAACAAACACUAGGUUUUGAGGGUUGAUUCACCUUGGGAAACACUAUUAGGAUUGAGUCUCUUGGUUACGGGAAGAGGCUGGGACUUUGGGUAGAAUUAGGAUGGAGACUUAUUCUUGUAACCCAUUGAUUUCUCUUUUGUAACGUUACUCAUCAUAUAGUGGAUCGGAGGGCUGCUCUCUCCCUCAGACUAGGUCAAUUUGGACCGAACUGAGUCAAUAAAUUAUUUUGUGUUUUUCUCUUCAUUGUGUUUUCUCUCGCUGUUGUUUUCUACUUUUGGCUUGUAUUUAAUUGUUCCAUACACUUUGAUUUUGGUUGCUUGAUUAUCCCUUGCUUCACACAUCAAGUUGUUAUUGGUGUGGUUUUCAUCGAAUUCGCAACAAUUGUCAUGUAAAAUUCGUGUACUCAUUUACCCUUUUAUAUUUUUUUUUACCAAGUUAUAUUAUGAAGUUUCCACCGUUGUUUAACGGUUAGUGAUCUUUGUUUAACAAUUGAUGGAACACACAAUGAGUACAAGAAUAGAAGUUGUGAGGGAGAGUUUUUUUGUAUUGUACCACAUGUGCCGAGAGGUAGUUUGCAUUAAAGAGAAAUCAGAUUGGAAAAAACUAAGAAGAACCGUACAAAGUAGUUGUUCUGGGUGUUUGAGAUAUGUGAUCAGAGACAAGCCGAAACUACAACUUUAAGUAAUUGGAUAUCAAGAAUCUCAACAUUUAGAUAUGAAAAGAGAAGGGAAACAAGAAUUAGGUUUGACAUAAAAAGUGAUAAAUGUCGGACAGAGUUCUUUGAGACAAGCCAUGUGAAGAGAGACUUCAUGACAUAAAUCCAAUCCCUUAAGGUUUAACCGAACAAAUAUUAUUAUCCAAUCCUUUCAGACAGUAUGCAACAGCAACAAAAAAAAAAAAACUAUUUUUUAAUAGAUUCAUUUACAAGCAUUCACUCUAAAUUGUUAAAAACAAAAUUAAAACAUAUGUUUACAAAGAAAUAAUUAUUUUUUUUUUGAGAGGUCAAAGAAAUAAUUAUUAUGGUUAGAAAUACUACAUAUAAAAAAGGACAAUGGAAUAAAUAAUCAAAAAUAAUCAACGUAUAAUAAGCUCCAAGAAACCAUUUUUUUUAUUGUACAAGGCCUAUUAAAUGAUUUAUCAUAUAUAGUCGUUUUCUUAAUCAAACUAUGUUCCAGUUGAUCCAUUUUGAGCCCCAUUUUUUUUCUUACACUAUCAAACUGUUUAGGAUAUUUUCCUCAUCUUCUCCUCAAAAGGUGUUACUUCAAUUUUCUUCCAGAUAUUUUCAUUCAUAAUAUUUUACAUCACUCAUCCACUUAAUUCAGCUUUUUUUUUUAUCAUAGUUAUGCUUAUUUUUCCAAUCAGUCAGUACUUCACUGCCAGAUAUCGUUGAUAUAUUGAUCUUAUAGUUAUCUAAUAGAAUCGUUUAUGAGUUUGAUAGUGUAACUUGUGACUAGAAAAUAUGAUCUGAAAUUAUUAAAUUGUACAACUUGUGUUGUGAUGUAGUAAUCCACUUUUUCACCUUUGAUGCGUCCCUAACUCAUGUCUUACUAUACUCAUAUUAUAUACUAUUUCUUGCUCCCACUCAAAUUAUCAAUUGAAAAACUGUUAAUACAAAAGCUCCUUGAUAAAAUUGUUUAGAAUUAGUCAUUUUAUUAAUUAUAUCAUGCACAAAAAGUAUGUAUUGAGGCUCAAACUCUUGGAUGUGCACAAUAAGUUCAUGCAAUGCAAUACUAAGGUAAAUAAAUAAUUCCUCCAGUCUUUAUUAUACUCCCUCUCCGUCCCAAAUUGUACGACGUUUUGGGCAUUUCACACAUAUUAAGAAAUACAAUUAAUAUUGUGUGGAAAAAAGAUAUUAUGAGAUGUUUUACAAAAUGAUCCUUAAUAAAUAAUAUGAGAAAGAUAAAUUAAAGAAUUGAAAGAAGAGGGAGUAAUAAAUAGUUAAGGUUAUAAUAGGAAAAAUAACAUUAAUGUUGCAUUGAUAUUGUUAAUCGACAUAUAAUUUAAGACAAAUUUUUUACCCUAAAACGACAUACAAUUUGGGACGGAGGGAGUAAUAAGAAAAACAAAAAAAACAUUAAAAGCAAUACAAUCAUUAGUUAAAAUAACUUUUUGAAUAUUUGUGCAAUUAUACCCUCAUAAAAAAAUUGUCAAGCAUUAAAUGCAUUCUCUAAUGUUUAAAAAACAAACAUUAAAUGAGGGGUAGAAAAAAAUUUUAAAUAAUAACUACACAGUUGUGAUAUUUUCUUAUAAAUAAGACCAAAAAAUAUUUUAAUUUUUUUUUUAUAUAUAAGAUCGGAGGAAGUACAAACUCAGUCGAUCAAUGAUGCAAACAUGUGGUUAUAGGAAAUACUCUACUACGCUUGCAUUAGUUUGCACAAUAUAGUAGUUGUCCCAUUUUAUGUAUCCUUCAUCCCUUGAGUAGAUCACUACAAGAAUUCCCCAAUAUACUAACCAAUCCAAUAUUGCAUUAUUGAGGGAUUUAGACCCUCAGUAAUUACUGGCGGAAUAAACCUUCAAUAACAUCCAAAUAACCCUCAGUAUUGUUUCCUCAAAUCAUCCCCAACACUACUAAGGGAUUAUUCCGCCAGUAACAUUACUGACGCCAGUAUUACUGAGGGACAUCAAUCCCUCAGUAAUAUCCAUUACUGACAGAUUUUGUGCAUUAUUGAGGGCUUAUUUCCGCCAGUAAUAAGCAAAUUUCUUGUAGUGUGUAGUACAUUACAUACAAUUUUUUUUAUCAAACCAUGUGGUGAACUUUCGUUUCCUUAGGUUUGCAGUGCAGUAGUUGUAGGAAAAUGCUACCAAGUGUCCUGGAGCACUGGUUGAGGAAACAAAUAUAUUCCAUCCGUUUUAAAAUAAGUGUUCUCUUUACUAUUUUUUUUUUUCUCAAAUUAAUUGUUCAUUUUACGAUAUCAAUACAAGAAUUUAUUAUUUUUUUCAAUACCAUACUCUUAUUUAUUGGGUCCUAACGCUUUUUCCAUAUGCAUUUUUAUAAUAAGAGUAAGCAGUCUCAACGCUUUUCCCAUCACACUCUUAUUUAUAUUAAUCACUUUUAAUAGCAUAAAAUAUGGACAAAUUCUAUGGUACAUCUAAAAAUUUGGAUAUAUUGGUACACUAAAUCAAUAAAUUAAUAGUUAAAUGUGUUAUUUUUUGAAGAGAAAAAUUGUUUUAUAUCACCUAUAAUUAUAAUAAUUAAAUUUUGCUUGUUCAAAAAAAAAAAUUAAAUUUUAUUUACCAAAAUCGUCGAAGAAAUAAAAUUUAAUUUUUCUGAAUUUUUAGUACUCAUAAUAGAGAAUUUUGAUUAUUUUUUACGAUAAAAUGUAAAAAAAAAAUUAGUAUGAUUUUUAUGAAUAAUAAAAUGAUGUUUUUCUUAUAAAAUAAAAUUUUCUAAAAUAUAAAUAUCAACAAAUAGUUCUUUAUUCCAUAAAAAUAAUUGUUAAUUUAAAUUUUUUUAAAGUGGGAGUACCGUACCGAUACACCUUAAUUUGCAGGUGUACCGUAGAAGUUCCCUAAAAUAUGCAUUAUGGAGAAGUGUUGGGACUACUUUAGGCACUCAAAUGGGUGACCUAAAUUUAGGACCCGUUGACUUUAAACUUACUCCCAAAAGGUGGUAGACGGUUUUCCUUCUAGAUUUAAAUCAAGAUUGUACAACUCUGUUAAUACAAUCAUGAGCUAUAAACUAAAAUUCCUUCUUGUCCUUUCCUCCCUCCAAUUUUUCACAUAGCAUAAUUAAAAUUUGAAUUUGGAAUUUCUACAAUUUUCCACAGAGAAAAAACAAUUAAACACUUUAUCUGUGUCUUUUCAUUUGCAGCAUGAGUACAGUUUUUUCAUAUCCUCACUAUGAUCCAGAGUUUGAUGCUCACUCUGAAAGGAUAUAUAUGGUCCACCGUAAGUAUAUAAUUCUUCUGUACUCUUCAAAUUAAAUUUCCUGAAUGGGUUUCUCUCCCAUUAAUUUGAUUAUUCGAUAACACACACAUGCUAAUGUUGUUAUGUUUUGUAGUUGUCAGGUUUGCAUAGACAAUGAAAGCAAAGAAGAUUGCACGGUUGUUAAGGUACACACUUGACCAUGACAUUUUUUUAUGAAAAAAAUGUACCUAUUAAUAUAAGGACCAUAUUUUUGUAAAAUUGAUAUUUCAGGUGGAUAGUGUUAACAAGCAUGGUGGUGUCCUACUAGAUAUGUUACAUGUUUUGACAGACAUGAACUUUCAAAUCAUCAAAAGUUAUAUUUCAUCGGAUGCUAAUUAGUGAUUGGUGCAUGGACGGUGUGUUUUAUUAAAUAUCUUAGUAGAAUGUUGAGUUGAGUGCAAGGAUCAUUCUAGGCUCAUGUUUGAUAUUGUUUGUACCUUGACAGACAUGUAGUAUGAUAUUUACCGUUCUUUCACCAACUAUGAUGUAGGGUAUGUAAUUCAGGCAGUGGUGGAGCCAGACAAAAAAGUUUGGGGGUGGUCGUCAUUAAAAUAAACUAAAAUGUAGGAAUCAUGUUGCAUACAACGAAUUUAAGUUGUAAUAAAUUUUGGUCUUCUUCUUGAAAACGAAUCGAUUUUUCAACUCUUCAUCUUAACUUUUAUGUUGCAAAGAAGAAAAUUUAUCAAUUUCAACCAGUUUUAAUUUCACUUUAACAAUGUGUAAUGAACAAGAAUUGGCAAAGGAAUCAAUAUUUCAAGGUAUAAAAAAAAUAUUUUAAAUGGGGGUGCCAGAGCCUAUUGUGUAGUCAGUUUAAUAGGAUACCUCAACCAUUGAAUUAAGAUUCAACGGUUCAUAUUUCACCUUCACCUCUGAAUUGAAAUACAACUCAAAAUAUAAUCCAAUGAUUGAAGUGACUACAUGUAUUUUGAUUGCAAUCCAAGUUAUGAACAUUAUGGAUAUAUUAUAUAUAUAACACAUUUAUUUUUUUAUCUUAUAUUUGCAAGAAAUUGAUUUCAAGAUUCUAGUAGUCAAUGAUAUUUUUUACAUCAUUUUAAUUUAGUAUUUUAAUUUAGUGUACUCGUUUGAAAAUGUUAAGAAUAAUGAUAGUUAGUAUAGUUUUGAGUAAUUAGCUUAUUCUUGUUCUCAUUCAAACCUUUAUGACUUUUUUCACUCUAUUUCUCCUAAUCCUCAAAAUCUAAACAUGGUACACAAUAUUGUCAAUGUUCCCAAGUUUUAAAAUUAAGUGACCGUGUAAGAUUCAAAAUAUUAUAUAUUUGGUACAUUAUCUAUGACCUAACUAAUUAGUUUGUGUUGAUGGGUUAACAGGAGUAUUUCAUCAGGCACAUAAAUGGAUAUGCUUUGAAUACAACAAGUGAGAAGGAACAAUUAAUAAAAUUCAUUGAGGCAGCUAUAGAACGCAGGGUUUGUGAAGUGAAUCAUUGACUUUAAAGUUUAAACACUCAAUCAUUUACACUAAUUUUUUUUAUUCAAAAUCUUUAACGCUAAUACAGAACCAAAAUAAUUAAUGGCCAAAAUUAUAGAUAGAAAAUUGUUGAAUCCUCUACAGUCAGUUUUAUGGUACAACAGACUAUAGAGGAUCCAAUUUGUGAGUUCGAUCUCUAGUUCCAUUUUAUUUUUUUAAUAAAUUUAGUGAUGAUAGAAUUAAAAACUUUUUUUUUCUGAUUUGAAUUGUUAAUUUAAGUUUUUACCUAGAGGUUUUUGUUGAUGUGUCGUGUGUGUUAGAAGUCUCAUAUUAGAUGGAGGACUAGAUAUUAAACAUUAUAUAAGUGAGAUUAUGUCUUAAGUUUUUGAUGAAGAUGUAGUUUCCAAACUUAUUUGUGUGAUUAUUCUUUGAUCAAUGUGAUGAUCCGCUCAAGUUUUAAGGCACCCUGGGAAGUUCCAACAAUAAUACCAAAGUGUGGUUUGACUUGGUGGGAAAGUGAGAAUGGUUUUUGGUGUUUGAUCAAGGAUGUGAAGAGUCUCGUUAUAAGUUAUAAGUCUCACAUUGAAUAAAAGAAUGGAUGUUGAGCGAUAUAUCUGUGAGAGAACUCUAUAUUGUUGAGUAUUGCUCAUAUAUACGCAAAAAAGGGGCAAGGGGUGGAGAAGGAGUUGAACUAGGGUAGUGUUGCGAAGCUCCCUCCAUUUAUCGUAAACUGGACUGUAAUAUUGUAUAUAUUAGUUAAUUCAUCACAGAAAUAAACAUAACUUUAACUGCUUUAUAGUCCCAAAGGUAUGCACUAUUUUCCGAACUACGAGAACAAAGAUUGUGUCUCAUUGUCUUUUGAUUUUUAUUUCUUUUCUACUUUUAUACUAGUCGCUUCUUUAUAUCCUAAUGUCCAAAGUUAUGGGUGAAGAUGUGACAUCCUAACUCACUUGUAUGAUUUUUUUUUUUUUUGUCCAAGGUAAUAAUCGGCAGGCUCCCUUGAAAAUUUCAAACAGUUUCUAACCAUUAAAUUGGUCUUUAUUUUGGAAACUUUGUUUAUAUUAUUUUAUUUUUUCUUGUUUCUAACAUGCAGAGUGUUAAACUAGAGUUGAGUGCAGACAACAGUGUUGGUUUCCUCUCUGACAUAUCACGAGUCCUCAGAGAAAAUAGUCUUGUUAUUGUACGAGCAUUCAUAAACUUGUUCUCUAGUUUAGUCUUUUGGAGAAAUUUCAUUCUCAUGGUCUCAAUCAAUGGACUUAGAUAAACAUAUAUGUCGUAUCUUGGUUGUCUUAGACCCAAAAUCAUCAUAGAUAACAUAAUGUAUUUGCAUAUAUUGGGAGAAUGGGCCAUGAACUAUGUUACUAUUAAAUUUGCAUAUAUCGAUUUAUUCAAUAUGUAGCAAAUUCAAGCAUAUGGUUUCUUGACUUAGUCCCAAAAUCCAUAUACAAUUCAUGAAGUUUUUUCCAUUGUAAAGAAUUAGUCAGAUGACGAAGUUGACCGUCACAUUUUCUCUCAUCUUCAUGUCAUUUAAUAUUGUUUGUAUCAUUUACAUCGAUGGACAAUCGUAUUCCUCAAAAUAUAACGGAUCAACAUUCAAACAUUUAACACGAGAAUGGAGAGUUUUACAAAAACAUAUUGUAUAAAUUCAUCUACUUCUUUCUCAUAUGCUUCACUCAAACAUUUAGUAUUCAUUCAACUACAAUUUGUGAUUACUAAUAUACAUCUACAAAUUUUAAGUUAAAGGGUUAAUUAUAGUCAAACUUAGAGCAUCUCCAACACGGAUUUUAUCAUUGGUAUCAUUGGUUUUCAAAUACUAUGCUACUAUUUCAUACUUGUUUCCAUCGAAUCAUAUCUACUUGGAAAUAUGAGUUCUAUAAAAAAGUGAAGACCGAUAUAUUUAAGUUGUUGUUCCAUACGAAUAUAACAUUAAUUAUGCUUGCAAUUAACCAACAAGAGAAUUAAAUAAGCUAUUGUAAGAUAUGAGUUGCUUAAAUUUAAAUAUGCACGACUGAAGUAAAAAUAUUGUGGAUUGUAUUAAAGUGAUGUGGAAAAGUAGUACUCACUAAAUGAGAGAUAAAUAACCUAAGAUGGGUUACUUAAAUUAUAUACACCCUCCGAUCCUUUAUAUGUGACGUUUUUUGCCUUUUCACUACAACCAAGGCAGCUGAUAAAUAGCUCUCUCUUUCCUUGUCUACCCUUAUUUAAUCUAGUACUCCUUUUUCUAGAUACCAACCAUUUUGAUUGAAAACAAGUAUCCUUGGUAUCAGCUGUUCAUGUGAUAUAAAUGCAUCACGUUUUACAAUUGCUAUAGUGCUUGGGAAGCCUAAAAGACACAAGAAACUUUCAUUACUAAUCACGCUUUUUCUUUCAAAUUUUUAUUCUUUUGUUUCUGAAAUUUUGAAAGGAGUAACAAAUAAACUUUCCCUCCAACUUAAUUUUUGAUUUAAACUUCCCUCCAACUUUGUUAAUCAAAAUUUAUCCUUCCCACCAAAACAAAAUUAAAAUCACCAAUAGUUGAAAUAUAUAUAUAUAUAUGGCAGUUUGCAGAAUUUAAAACUCAUCAAAUAUGACUUCAAACAUUACAAAAUUUUCAUUGUGUGAUAUAGAUUUAAAUGUUGAAUUUACACCUUUGCCAGAUCUUAAUAUUGAUGCAGAAGAAAUAUUUUCUCAUGAAGAGGCUGAAGAGUUCAACAAUGAUAAUAUUGGUAUUGUAGUUGUUCAUUUAUGUGCAGUUAGCUUUGUCACCUUUGUAACACUACUAAUUGUUGUUUUCUUAUUCUUCUAGUAUUGUUUUUUUUCCAACAAUUAAAUUGUGGCUGAAGAGUUCCACCAUGUGCUUUGUCUUGUACUCCAUCACAUGAGCUAAAUGUCUUCCACUAUUUAUUCUCCAUACAUAUGUCAUUACGUGAAACAAUUGCGUAUGAAUGAGGAUAUGCCUUCAUCUAACAAUCACCAACACAUGCGCUUUAAUAUAGAUUUUUGAAACGAUUUAUUUUAUGUGUACAGAAAAAAAAAUAGGCUUAUUUCAUUAAGAAUUUUUUUCUUAAUAUUGUGUGUUAUAUUGAUUUAUAUUUUAGCAUCUCACCAUUUUAUUUUUCAUGCAAGGAGCAAUUCAAGAAAAUAUUGAAGUCACAUACCAUGAUUUGGACAAUGGCAUAGAUAUGAAUUUGGGAGACAACAUAGACCAUGAGUUGGACAAUGGUAAGUUAUUUUUCUUUAACUCAUUCAUUAAUAAUUUUUUCUUAAUAUUGUGUGUUGAACUAAUUUAUAUUUUAGCAUCUCACCAUUUUAGCAUCUUACCAUUUUAUUUUUAAUUCAAGGAUCAAUUCAAGAAAAUAUUGAAGUCACGGACCAUGAUUUGAACAAUAGCAUAGAUAUGAAUUUGGGAGACAACAUAGACCAUGAGUUGGACAAUGGUAAGUUAUUUUUCUUUAACUCAUUCAUUAAUAAUUUUUUCUUCAUUGUUGUUCAAAGAGUCUUUCAUUAUUUCUUCUUCUAUGUUGCCCAAUGAAUUUUCCACUCUUUUUUCUCCAUUGUUGUUCAAUGAUCCUUCCACUGUUUUCUCUUGUUUCAUGGAUUCUUUGGUUUGUUCCAUUACAUCUAUGGGUAGUUCCUUUUUCAUGGUUAGUGUACAUAUUUAAAGAGCCAAAAUUGUGGAUUUCCAAAUUCUUGGAACAAGCCGAGUGCUAUGGGUAGUACUCCUUGCAUUUAUUAGUAGAAAGCCUCGGUAAAAUAAUCUAACGGAUGAAUUGGAUUAGGCUAUAGUCAUUGACUAUGCAAUUAAUGUAUAAAAUGUGGCGAUUUAGAGGUUAAGGGUAUAAUAGACAUAUUACAACUUUAAACUCUAAAAGUGACACUUAUAUAGGAACAAAAUUUUUUCCCAAAAGUGACACUUAUAAAGGAACGGAGGGAGUAUAAUAUUGGAUUGGAUUGGCAGGGCCGGCCCAAAGCAAGAGCAUCCAGGCCCAUGGCUCAGGGCCUCCAAAUUUUGGGGGCCCAAAUUUUUUUUUUUUUUUAUGCAUAUAAGGCCAUAAAAUGUUACAUAUAUUUGUUUAGCGAAAAUUUUAGAAUUGUUGCGAUGGUCCAGUGGUUGAAAGAUAUGUGCGUGGGCUUCUCAUUCUCGAUUCUACUUCCAGGAAUUACUUUUUUAUUAUUAUGUUUUUGCAAUUAAGCAUAAUUGCAUAAGUGUGCCUCCCAGCAAAUUCUUGCAAUUAAAAUAAAUGAUAAUAUUUUUGAAUUUUUUGUGCAUUUUUUUAUUGGAGGGGCCAAUUUUUAAGAUUGCAUCAGGGCCUCCGGAUUGUUUAAGACGACCCUAUGGAUUAUGCUCUUAGUAUGACCUUCUACAAAAUUCUAAGACAACCCCUUUGCUUGCUGAUGGAUUAGCUGUUGAUGGGAAAGUAAGAAGUUAACAACAUAAUUUUCAAAUUCAUUGGACCAUCCACAAUGAAGCUCCUCUAUUUAGGUAUUUAAGUGAGUCUCACAUAUAAACAUCGUCUAUUUUAAAAUUUUUAAUGUAAGUACCUGUAAACACUCAAAAUUCGGAUGAGAUCUUCUAAAAAACCCAGAAAUUCAAAUGAAAUAAAUGCCUCAAAAAUUGAUCUUCCUUGUGAACCCAUAUGUUUUCUUCAAACCAAAAUCUUCUAAAAUAAAAAACUAAAUCUAAAGGUUGGUUUAUUUGCACAAUUCGUCAAACCGCAUCUUCAUUCAAAAAAUCAAAACUGAAACAAACUGAUUUCAAUUUGAUUUUAAUUUUGAGUUCGAUUAUGUGUUACAGAUUCGUGUGAAUGAGGAACAAGGAGGUUUUCGAUUCCAAUCUCCUCCAUCUUUGUGUUUCGAUUUAAGUUGGUGUUUUGAUAAAUUUUGGUGAUGAGAUGAUGAUGUUUGUUUUUUGUUUCUGGAAUCUUUUUUCUAGUUUGUUUGAGAGAAAAAAAUUAUGGGUUGUUUGUGAGUGAGUGAUGAAGAUGAUGUUGAAAGAGAAAAUGAAUCUUAAUGGAGAAAAUGAUGCAAAUUUAAAUCGAAGAGAAAAAAAAAAACACGUGUUGAUUUUAUCAAUUUGAUAAAUUCAUGUUUUUUUUUUUUUUGGUCUUACAUGUGUAUUUGGUUUUAAUGUUGUGUUUUAUUUGAUAUUUUAUUUUUAUAAUUCUAUGGUUUUUUCUAUGUGAUGAAGAUAUGAACAUCAUGAAUGAAGAAUUUGGGUUUUUUUUUUAUUUAUGAAAAAAAAAUUGGCCAUUGGAAUUUUUGAUGAAUGUAUGAAGAUGAUGAUGAAGAUGAGGAGGGAAGAAGAUGAAGAAAUGUUAAAAAAAAUAGAUGUUUGUGAUGCAAUGUUGGUCCACCUAAUACAUUUUGAGUUAAAGUUAACUGACAUGGAUCAAAUUGUCUGACGGAGCAUAUUUGAGGGACCAAACGGAAAUUUUUUAGAGUUAAGGGACCAAAUUGAAAACAACAAAUAAGUUAAAGGACCAUUUAUAAAAUUAAGCCUAUUUUUUAAAAGUACAUAAAGCAGCCCCCUAAAGUGUUGUUUCUGGCUCCCCCGAUGUCCUUCCUCAUUUCAAGUUGUCUCAAAACUUCAAAACCAUUUCUCAAAAUCCCAAACUCCCAAAACUCGUUUCCAAUAUUUCCUUUUCCACCAAAAACCACUUCCAAAACAUCAUAUUUCACAAGUUUCGAAAUCAUAAAAGUCCCAAUUUUCCUUCUCUGCAGGAGGACAUGGCGCCAUCGUUUCUGGGAAAGCUAUUUGAUGCAGCUGCUCCUUAAUAAGUAUCUUCGUAUUGUAAUCAGCAUUGUUAAACCGAAUCUGAAAAUAAAAAUAAAAAAAUGAAAUGAGAAUUUGUUUCGUCCAGAAGGGCCGAUUCGGACGUGUGAAAUACCAGCACAGAAUUACUAUUGAAUCAAACCUGAAUCGCUUCCAACUCUGGCAAAAUAGAUAUAUCUGAACAAUCUUCCUUUGGCACACCGUCAUCAUCAACCAACUCUUCAGAUUUUGGACCCUUCAUAGACUUGUUAUACCUUGAACGUGCAUUAUAAAUCUGCUUGAUAGUAAUCCCAUCGUCAGCUCUUCUUUUCUUCAAAGUCAUAAGAAUAUUUUUUGGACGGACAGUGUUAUUUGUCAUCUCAUGAACGAGUUUCAUCUCUUCCUCGUUUAAACGGCCUGCAAUAGGAUUAUCUUCUAAAUUUUCCAUCAUCUCAUGAUUGUGUUUUCCACACAUUACGGUAAGUUCCCAUACACCAGAGGACAAAAAAUAACCCCGCAAUCUGAAUGGACACUCACAUUUUUUGAAUCUUGUGUCUUGGCGAUUCGAGUGCUUCUUAUAUACACCACUCCUUUUGCAUUCAAGUAGAAGAGUUUGUGUUCCUCUAUUAUUUGACUUUGAAAUAACAAUACCAAACCCUAACUUGGUUGCUUCACCUCGAACCCAUUUCAGCAGGUCAUCUCGAGUAGUAAAUUCUUUAUCGGUGGCAAAGUGUUUAGCGAAAUCAAGAGACUCAUCGACUGGUUCAGCAAUGUCAGGCUUCAAAUCAGCAGAGGGAUCCUCCAUACCUGAAAUGGUAUCGUGUUCGUGAGAAAAAUAGGCUUAUACAGUAAGUACACAUUCUGAGUUGGCCCAUUUGGACCCUUUUUAAAAUGAAAAGAUUGGCUUAUUCAAACGAUACCAGUAAUACGUAAAAACAAAACGCAAAAGAAACAAUUAGAAGGAAAUUAGAGUCACGUUUCAUUUGCUUUCAAAUGAAAAUUGUGUAAAUAUAAUCAAUGGGAUUAUAGGAAUGAGUAAUGAAACACACAUUUUGUAAAAUAAGGGUUUUAUUUAGAGUGAUUUUAAAUAAGAGUUGAAGAUGACGGGUUUCAAAUAUAUCAUAUAUAUGCUUUCGAGUGUUUGACAUAAACUCAAAAAUAACAUAAACACUCAAAAUUUGGCUAACAAUAUUCCUGUUAUGACUACAAAGUUAAUUACAAGUCAUACGGCAUCAACUUUUCAACAGGCCCAACCGGAAGGUUUACUAAUAGACUAACAUCAAUUGACAUACUUGAUAACAUGAUGAAAUCCAUACUAAAAGAAGUUACGUAUCAAGGCUGCAUAUUCAUUUACCCAAUUGAGAAAAUUCACUAAAGAGAAAAUCAACUUUUUUCCUAAAUGCUGUUAAGAGGCAAAUUAAAAUUUGGCAAAUGCAACAACUAAAAACAUGUAAGAAAAACAAUUUACAUAAAAUAAAAAUGAUACAGUAAUAGUGACAAAAUAGCACUAUCGGGUUGAGUACUAAAAACCUGUGUUAAAGUUCUAUAAAAUAUUGCUUUUCUAAUAUCCUGCAUUUAUAAAAUUACAAAGCAAAUCCCAUUUUGCAUUUGUAAAAAUGAAGUUUAAAAAUACAAAGCAAAUAUGAUUCCACACUUAUAAAAAUGCAUAGUUCUCUCUCCAAAUACUUAGAAGAAAAAAAGAAUACAGUGUUCAAUGUGGCUCAAAAGUUCCUGGUGAUAUUUGAUCAGCGCGUCCUGGUGAAAUUUGAUCAGCGCGUUCAUGGAAUAUUGACACUUGAUGUCAUUUCCCUAGCUGUUCAGGCAAUGCAAGCAAAUUAACAUUAUCACCUUAACAAGCUGAUUGUAGUUAAUGAAUUUGUUGAUUUUUUUCAAGACUUUAUCUCUAUGCAUAAAAAACUUACACACUCGACUCCUAUGCCAAAAUAAGAGGAUCGAUCAGACUCGAAAACUAAAUAAUUUACCAGAACAUUCUUAAUUUCCUUGAACCAAAUUCAUGAACAGAAAAUGUUAUUGUCUUAUAAAUUAAAGACUUGUACUGGAACAAAAGAACAAGGCACAACCAAAUAUAACACAAGGAGCAUAACAUUCUGAACCAAUGUGGUUUUGGGUUUAAUUAGCAAGAAGAGUUAUUUUACACAUGCUUAAAGAACAAAUAUAAGAAGAGAGCUAAAUCUCAUCCACAAUCUACACUCUUUCAAUAUUCAUUCUACAAACUUAAUAAUAAAAACACAUGAAGUCUAAAACCAAGAAAAAUAUGAAUAAUAAGAUGCAACAAAAGCUAAAUAUCAGCCAGAAUCUACAUUCUUUCAAUAUUCAUCCAACAAACUUGAUAAUAAAAACACAGAUUCUGAAACAAAGAAUGAUAUGAAUAAUAAGAUACAACAAAACAAAAACCUUACCUUUUGCUAGGGUAGAACAAAGAAACAACAUAGAUGCAAGAAGGGAAAUGAAACCCAAAAUUUUAAGUUUUGCAAUUGCAAAUCUAAACACCAAAUUUGCGGAAAUAAAACAAAAUGAAAAACACGGAAAUGACAAGUGUAUUGUAUCUUAUUGGAAAGAACAACACAACAAAACAACGAAAUCAAAUAUCAAUAAGACAAAUCAAGAAAACAACAAUUCUACAUGUGAUGACGGUGAAGGACACAAGUGAUUGUUGAAAAAAUGAGAUUCAAGUCCAAGGAUUUCAGGUUUCACAGAUAUACAUGAAAGGGAUCAGAGUUAAAAACACCUUCUAAGUAGGUUAGUCAAAUAACCAACUCAAAAAAUGUUUCCACUAAUUUCAAAACUUUCACCAUACCACCUCAUUGUUUAAAGAAGCUUGUAGAAACCGGUUUAAAAGCCUGUGCUAAUAAUUAUGUUUUGCACUAGUAUACAUUUUUCUCUUCACACCAAUUAAUAUUCGACAAUGCCAAAAGUAAAUUACAUAAAAGUAAAUAAAAGUGCCAUGGAAAUUGAUUGUUCAUUUCAUCGUAUACCAGCUAGUGUUGAAUUUGUCUAAAAUUAAAUACUUUUACACAAAAAAGAACAAUUGAUCGGAGAGUGAGAGUACAACUACAGACGAAAGCAAUCUUCUGUAUUUUAAUAUAAAAACAAAACGAAAACUAGAAAGAAUAAUCUUAAAAUGGUUUUAUUUUACAAACUUAAAGAAUGCUGUCCUUCCUUUAAAAAAAAAAAAAAAGAAUGCUGGCCUAAAUUGGUUUGUAUUGCAUAUAAUUUGCAAUAGACAAAUAAGCUCAAUGAGGCUAAGCAUGGACUUGAAUUUCAAAACGAAAAUAUAUGAGAAUCACUCCAAACUCGGUAGCACCGACACGAUACCGACAAGUAUUAUUAAGUUCAAUUAAAUCAUUUUAAAAAUUUAGCAAUGUUGACAUGUAAGUGUCGUGUUUGGUGUCUGUCUAUGUGCUUCAUUCAUACAACUUUUGAAAUAUUUCACAAUUGAAGUACUAAGAUCAUGCAUGAUAUAUGAAUGUAAAACAAAUUGAAAAGUAAUUACAUAAUUACAUUGGAUAUGAAACUAGAUAAUGCAUAUAGUCAAAACCCUAACAUUUAGAUCUAGAAAAAUGGAAUAAGACAAAAACCCUAACAGCCGACAAGAAAAAACAAACAAGGUGUAAAUUUAGGUGAAACCAAACUGUGUUAGGGAUUUAGGUUUUAACAGAGACAAGGGAAAGGAAAGUGAAUUUUUACCUGAUAAGGGUUGACGGAGAAAAUGUUUGUGUCGAUCCGUCAUAGUCACGGAUAUGUUCUUCUUCCUCCUGCGUCGCGUCGCGUGUGCCGUCAGUAGAAGGAGGAUUGAGUGCGAUAGGGUUCGCUUAACUGAAUGAAUGAAGAGAGGAAAGGGAUUCGAGAUGAUGGGCUUCGCGCCUUAUGUUUUUGUUUUAUGUUUUUAGGCUAAAUUACAACAACAUCCUUUAAAUUUAGGGUGUAUUUGUUUCAAGUUUACUAAAUUUAUUUCUAGGAAUAACAUUCCUUAGAAUAUAAAUAUGGGAAUUUUAUUCCAGCGAAUUUAGGAAAAAUAUGUUUGGUUAACUUUAUAAUAUUUCUAGGAACCAUAAAAAUAGGGAUUAUAAUAGGUAAACUAUUUAUGAAUUUAUUCACAUCUCCAUGGGAACUUUAUUCCACCAUUUUCCUUGGGAAAUUUUUUCUAUUCCCAGGAACAUUUUAUACCCGGGAAUAAAAUUUAAUAAACUUGUAACAAACAUAGGCAUAUACAUUCCUAUUAUUUUAUUCCCGGGAAUCAACAAUUAUAACUUGAAACAAACACACCCUUAAGAUUGUAAUAGAUUAACAUUUAAGUUAUUUUAGUGACAAGUAAAUUUUUAAGUUUGAGAUUUAUAACAUAGGGUCUUGUUAACGACUGCAUUUGCGGUACUCUUUAAACAUUCUAAAAUAAGCAAUAAUUUUUUAAAAAAGUUAAAUGUUUCGAUUUCCAAUAUAUUGAUUAUACACUUUUUCAUAAAUAGUUACUGCUUAUAAGUGUCUCGGGAGCACUCGUUAACAUUUUUCUAUAACAUAUUAUUCAUAUAAAUUAUUUUGUUCACACGUAAGUCUUUUAAGUUUGAGAUUUGUAAUAGAUUGUUCAUUUAAGUUAUUUUGGUUACACAUAAAUCAUUUAAGUUUGUAAACAUUUUCGAUUUAGUCAUUCUACUACAUCAUCGUUUUUGUAAUGUUUGGUUAACAUAAUGACUAAAUUAAAAAUGUUUACAAAUUUAAAGGACUUAUGCGUGACAAAAAUAACUUAAAGAACAAAUAUGUUACAAACCUCAAACUUAAAGAACUUAUUUCAGUUAUGUGUGACCAAAAUAACUAAAAGAAUUAAUCUGUUACAAACCUUAAACCUAAGGAUCCCUAGGCUAAUUUAGCCAAAACGUUUACAGAUUUGGACUUAUAUGUGACCAAAAUAACUUAAAUGACCAAUCUGUCACAAACCUCAAACUUAAAGGACUUAUGUGUACCAAUUUAUUACAAACCUCAAACUUAAAGGAUCCUGGUGUAAUUUAGACUUUUUUUAUAUUGGUCACGUUAAAAUUUGCCUUAUUUCAGGGAAAUAAGUGGGGUGUCUUGAUUCGAACUUCGUUCCAGCAUAUAUAAAUAACUAGCGGAAAGACAACAUUCAAAUUUCCUCACUUUUUACCAUUUGUUUAUUGCAUUGAAAUUUUGAAAUUAUAAACAAUAUUUAAGGAUAUAAUUAGAAUUAUGGGUGUUUGUGGUGCGGAUUAGUUUGGUUUUAAGGAUAAAAGUCAUCUUAAUUGCGAAUAACAUGCAAUUUGGUUUAGAUUGGUUGAAUUUUCAAAUAAAAAUCAAAUGAUCAAUACAAGAGAGAAUGCCAACUUGUGAAUUGGUGUUAUGUAUGACAACCUUAACAAGGUUACGAGCAACCAUAUUAAUCUCUCUCCUAAAAAACUUGACAAAAGAGUUGUUAUAUUACAUGAUAAAUUACUACGACAUAUGCAUACAAUGGAACAUACCUAGGUUUAUCAUUGACUGACAAGUUAAAAGAGUCCACGACAUCCUUCAAAUUUAGAGAAAGAUAACUUGUUUGAACUCUAACCCACUUCCACUCGAUAAUUACCCAUAAGCCCGAAGACUCGUCCUCCUUAACAUUCAAAAUGUACCCUUAAACAUUUCAUACUCGUCCCUUAAUCAAGUCUCAAUUUCAACCUUAUUAUGUUGCUAAAAAAGGCAUGUUGAUAUCCCAUCCAAUGAGCAUGUGUGAGGUAGUGAUACUUGAGGCGGACGAGGGCGAAGAAUGGUCGCCAGUGCGCAAGGCAUGAUAAUAUGCACUCAUGGAAGCUUCUAGGAAAACCGAAUCACAUCGAAAUGAGAGGGGAUCCUGAGGUUGUGUAUGUAUGA
rnacentral:lncRNA from 1 species